rnacentral:lncRNA from 10 species
UUUGACGUCACCCACGCUGGCCCUCGUGUGACUCACGGCCCAGCCCUGAGCCAGAAUCUGCUCCUGUUAUUACGGGUAUGAUUGUCUCCAUUUUACAAAUGAAGAUAUGGAGGCUCAUAUUCUUCAUCUGCAACUCAUUGAUGGAUAACCAGGUCGAGGUGACUGAUAGCCCUGCAGUCCUCUCUUCUCUCUAUGCUGAGGGAGAAUGACCUUUGAUUUGUGGCACUCACAGGGGCUGGCAAGGCCUGCAGUCAUUUGCAGCUGAUUCUGCUGCUUUGUGUCAUGAGACAUUAAGUGACCUGCUUGGAUUCACUGAACUAAUUAGUGGCAUAGCUGGGAUUGGAACUCAAUAUUCCCUUCUCCAAAUGAUGGGGUUCCCUCUGUGCUUGGUGUCUUCUUGACUUCUAAUGUGUCUGAAAUGCAUAAUUGUUAGAACCCUGGGCCCCUGUAACCUUCACCGGUCAACUCUCAUCACCCCAAGCACCCUGAUGGAUUCGCGGAGCACAGAGGACAAUCCCAGCAAACGUGUUUAUCAUCAAUGAGGGCUUUUGUUGCCGUCUCUUGUACCUUGGUGACUUGGGAUAGAGCACACAUAAACCUCCAGGAUUAUUUUUCACCCUUUUAGUUUAAGGACUAGGAUGAAUGAACAACUCUUGGCCUAUUUUGUUAACCUUAACUCACACCUACUUUUUGCCCUGUGACCGAGGCAUGAAAAUACGUGUUUUUUUCCUUUAGGCCUAGAACAAAGCUGCCACCUUCCCCCACAGUGGUGUUUUUUAAAUGCUUGGUUAUGACCAAUUAGAGGAUUGUAAAAUCAGUGUAGUGGGGUGACGAGCAUUAAAAAAUAGAACAG